UACGGAGGGUGCGAGCGUUGUUCGGAAUCACUGGGCGUAAAGCGCGUGUAGGCGGCUUCGUAAGUCUGGUGUGAAAGCCCGGGGCUUACCCCCGGAAGUGCACUGGAUACUGCAAAGCUUGAGUACCGGAGAGGAAAGUGGAAUUCCUGGUGUAGCGGUGAAAUGCGUAGAUAUCAGGAGGAACACCGGUGGCGAAGGCGGCUUUCUGGACGGAUACUGACGCUGAGACGCGAAAGCGUGGGGAGCAAACAGG
rnacentral:rRNA from 1 species